rnacentral:rRNA from 1 species
UGCCAGCCGCCGCGGUAAUACGGAGGGUGCAAGCGUUAUCCGGAAUCACUGGGUUUAAAGGGUGCGUAGGCGGCGUUUUAAGUCAGAGGUGAAAGGCCAUCGCUCAACGAUGGGACUGCCUUUGAUACUGAAGUGCUUGAAUCAGGUUGAGGUUAGCGGAAUGUGACAUGUAGCGGUGAAAUGCAUAGAUAUGUCAUAGAACACCAAUUGCGAAGGCAGCUAACUGGGCUUUGAUUGACGCUGAGGCACGAAAGCGUGGGGAGCGAACAGGAUUAGAUA